rnacentral:rRNA from 1 species
UACAGAGGGUGCUAGCGUUGUUCGGAAUCAUUGGGCGUAAAGGGCGUGUAGGCGGUUUGUUAAGUCAUGUGUGAAAUCCCUCGGCUCAACCGGGGAACGACGCAUGAAACUGGCAGCUAGAGUACCAAAGAGGGGGGUGGAAUUCCCGGUGUAGCGGUGGAAAUGCGUAGAUAUCGGGAGGAACACCUGUGGCGAAGGCGGCCCCCUGGUUGGAUACUGACGCUGAUACGCGAAAGCGUGGGGAGCAACAGG